rnacentral:rRNA from 1 species
GUAUGGCGACCGGCGCACGGGUGAGUAACGCGUAUGCAACCUGCCCGAUACCGGGGUAUAGCCCAUGGAAACGUGGAUUAACACCCCAUAGUACUUUUAUCCUGCAUGGGAUGUGAGUUAAAUGUUCAAGGUAUCGGAUGGGCAUGCGUCCUAUUAGUUAGUUGGCGGGGUAACGGCCCACCAAGGCGACGAUGGAUAGGGGUUCUGAGAGGAAGGUCCCCCACAUUGGAACUGAGACACGGUCCAA